GAGUUUGAUCGUGGCUCAGAUUGAACGCUGGCGGCAGGCCUAACACAUGCAAGUCGAGCGGAUGACGGGAGCUUGCUCCUUGAUUCAGCGGCGGACGGGUGAGUAAUGCCUGGGAAUCUGCCUGGUAGUGGGGGACAACGUUUCGAAAGGAACGCUAAUACCGCAUACGUCCUACGGGAGAAAGCAGGGGACCUUCGGGCCUUGCGCUAUCAGAUGAGCCUAGGUCGGAUUAGCUAGUUGGUGGGGUAAUGGCUCACCAAGGCGACGAUCCGUAACUGGUCUGAGAGGAUGAUCAGUCACACUGGAACUGAGACACGGUCCAGACUCCUACGGGAGGCAGCAGUGGGGAAUAUUGGACAAUGGGCGAAAGCCUGAUCCAGCCAUGCCGCGUGUGUGAAGAAGGUCUUCGGAUUGUAAAGCACUUUAAGUUGGGAGGAAGGGCAGUAAGUUAAUACCUUGCUGUUUGACGUUACGACAGAAUAAGCACCGGCUAACUCUGUGCCAGCAG
rnacentral:rRNA from 1 species